AGAAGGAAGGAAAGUGAGGGCCCUGGCUUGCUGAUUACAAACCAUCUCCAUGGUCACAGGUUGCUGGGUGCUCCUUUUACAAUGUUUUCCCAGCAGCAUGCAGGCAGCAGUAGCUUCCUUUGAUCAUUUUUCAGUUUCUGUUAUUUGCUAGUGAGAGAAAGUUUAUACCUGCUUGUGGGGACAUGAGUGAAGAAAGAGAGGGGACUUUGAAACAAGAGAAGAGAGCAAACUCAAAAGGUUUUUCAUGGCAGCAUGUGACAAGAUGAUGCUGAAAAAUUUAUAUGGAAAUUCAAAGGAUCAAGAAUAGCUGAAACAUCACUGAAGAAGAACAAGAAUUGGAAUCCAGGGCACAGAGAGGUUAAGUAAUGUGCCCAAGGUCACACAGCUAAGUAGUAGAGCUGUGGCUCACAUCUAGGAGGAGGCCAUUGUGGCUGGAGCUGGUGGGUGAUGUCAAGAAUGGCAGAUCAGGCUGGAGCUGUGUGGAAGGUCUGCGUCAUGUCCAGCCUUGUAGGCCAUGGAAGAGAGUUUGAAUUUUAUUCUAUAUAACCAUGAAAAACAAUAAAACAUAUUUAAUCAGAAAAGUGCAUGAUAUGUAUAUUUUGAAAAGCCAGUGAUGGCAUUUUAAAAAUUCUAUUUUGUGAUUAUGAAACUUCCAUAUGCUCAUUUGGAAAACACAGAAAAGCACCAAGCGGAAAAUAAAAAUCACCUCUAAUGCCACACCCUGCAAACAACAGAUAGUCACUGUUAACCUCAGAAUAUAGUCUUCCAAUCAUUGAUAAGUAUUUGCAUUAUAGCAUAGUUAGAAUUAUGCUGCACCUAUUGUUUUGUCAACUGCCAUCUAAGAGAUAUACAGUAUCAUAUGGUAGUUUUGAUCCAAGAUUUUUCAGGAAGAAAUGUACAUUAGUGAUGUGGGGUGUGGGAUGGGAGGACAGAAAGAAGCUCUUGUUUCAGAAGAAUUAGUCCAGCAGGAAGACAGGUCGUGUCUGGGACAUGGGUUUAGGUUGUCACUUUGGAAAGCUGCUUUUGAGCCACAUGUGAGCUCUCUGAAGAUUCCAUUUUCUCUGAGUUCUCCAAGGCAGAGACUAGCGCCAACACCUCUCCUUCCCCUGUAGGACUUACCCACAC